AGGAAAAUGGUCAAUACAUUAUGACCUAUUCCUCAUCAACAGUUUAACCUCAAAAUACACAUAAAUAUUCAGUAUCACAGCCGAACCAGAACAUUUAACAAAUCACUUUGAUGUCUUACUGUACUGUGGCGUCUUUUGACAUUUUCGAUGUCCCACCAUAACGUGACAUUUUUACUUCUAUUUUGGAUUACUAUUACUUCUGUAUUGCUUUUAUCACAUAUUACCUUUACUGUUACCUCUAAUAUUAGAUUCCUUUCACCAUUACUUAUUACUAUCACCUAUUAAAACUUCAGGAAGCUAUUUGUUUAUUUAAUAUCCGGCGCCGACGCGAGUGGCAGCGAUUUCAGCAGCUCCGUGUGCCUUGCUCUUUUUUCACUGUUUUCUCUUUAUUUACUGUUUAUUUUUGCUCUUUUUCUACUCUGUGUUAUUCCAGCCUAUGGAAAUGGAUUUUCUUGUUCACACCAAGACUCGUUUAUUCGAGGAAAUCACGUGUUGCUCUGACAACGUGGUCGCGCGCCGGGGUGGUUCCCCAUUUACCUGACGAGGUGAGGAGGGUAAUGUGAACGCACUACCGAAUAAGAUCGACGAACUGGCUGCGCUGGUGAAAAACAUCAGGACCUACAGAGAGUGCAGUCUGGUGUGCUUCUCUGAAACAUGGCUCAGGUCUAGCAUCCCGGAUGCUAACGUGGAGCUACCCGGUUUCAGUACAGUCAGAGCGGACAGAGACACGAAAGCCUGCGGGAAGCGGGAAGGACGAGGACUCGCUUUAUAUGUAAACACAAGCUGGACAAUAAAAUCCCCAGCUGCUGCAGGGACACCGGACUCUCGGCUGUAAGCCUCCGUCCCUGCCCAGAGAGAUUGGACGCCAUUGUUGUUAUUGUUUACAUUCCUCCACGUGCCGACGCGAGCGACGUCAUCCACUCCGCCGUUGCUCAACUACAAUUAUACAACAAGUAGUUCGAACCGAGCCAUCUGAUUGGUCCACAAGACAUUUAGAACGUGCUCCAAUCAGCAUGACAGCACACCUUACUCACUACUACAAAUAUUACUCCGCCAUAAACAUUAAACUCACAAGCGCCUCGGUCCUGACCGCAUCACCGUCGUGCUCAGAUGACGUUAAACACACCCUCUCCGUUAGUAUUGCUUACCACAGCACCCGGAGGCGCGUGUGUUCAUCUCUGGGGACUUCAACCAUGUGACAUUGGACAAAACACUACCUGCUUUCUACCAGUAUGUGGACUGUAACACCAGGGGAAACAGGACCAUUGACCUACUGUAUGCUAACGUAACGGACGCAUACAGCUACACCCCGCUGCCUGCACCGGGGAAAGCAGAUCACAACCUCAUUCUGCUCCACAAAGCAAGAGUGAGGAAGCUACCCACAACCACACCUCAUUCAGGAAGUGGUCUCCUGAGGCAGAGCAGGCUCUGAGAGACUGUUUUGGAACCACAGACUAGGAUGCACUGCGGGGGUCGCAGGUUGUUGACUGCGCUACUGACUACAUCAGCUUCUGGAUGGACGUUGUUGUUCCGGUUAAAACUGUACGCUGCUAUGCAAACAACAAGCCCUGGAUCACCAGUGACAUCAAGGGCCUUCUGAAUCAGAAGAAGGCGCCUUUAAAGAUGGCAGAGCCACGGCACCGGUAACAGCCAGUCAGCAGUGACAGCCGAGCAUGAGGAGGAGACAAAGUUUUACCAGGUGGAGAAACUCUGGAGAGCAGAUCUAUCCUAUGGAAAUGGAUUUUCUUGUUCACACCAAGACUCGUUUAUUCGAGGGAAUCACGUGUUGCUCUGACAACGUGGUCGCGCGCCGGGGUGGUUCCCCAUUUACCUGACGAGGUGAGGAGGGUAAUGUGAACGCACUACCGAAUAAGAUCGACGAACUGGCUGCGCUGGUGAAAAACAUCAGGACCUACAGAGAGUGCAGUCUGGUGUGCCUCUCUGAAACAUGGCUCAGGUCUAGCAUCCCGGAUGCUAACGUGGAGCUACCCGGUUUCAGUACAGUCAGAGCGGACAGAGACACGAAAGCCUGCGGGAAGCGGGAAGGACGAGGACUCGCUUUAUAUGUAAACACAAGCUGGACAUUAAAAUCCCCAGCUGCUGCAGGGACACCGGACUCUCGGCUGUAAGCCUCCGUCCCUGCCCAGAGAGAUUGGACGCCAUUGUUGUUAUUGUUUACAUUCCUCCACGUGCCGACGCGAGCGACGUCAUCCACUCCGCCGUUGCUCAACUACAAUUAUACAACAAGUAGUUCGAACCGAGCCAUCUGAUUGGUCCACAAGACAUUUAGAACGUGCUCCAAUCAGCAUGACAGCACACCUUACUCACUACUACAAAUAUUACUCCGCCAUAAACAUUAAACUCACAAGCGCCUCGGUCCUGACCGCAUCACCGUCGUGCUCAGAUGACGUUAAACACACCCUCUCCGUUAGUAUUGCUUACCACAGCACCCGGAGGCGCGUGUGUUCAUCUCUGGGGACUUCAACCAUGUGACAUUGGACAAAACACUACCUGCUUUCUACCAGUAUGUGGACUGUAACACCAGGGGAAACAGGACCAUUGACCUACUGUAUGCUAACGUAACGGACGCAUACAGCUACACCCCGCUGCCUGCACCGGGGAAAGCAGAUCACAACCUCAUUCUGCUCCACAAAGCAAGAGUGAGGAAGCUACCCACAACCACACCUCAUUCAGGAAGUGGUCUCCUGAGGCAGAGCAGGCUCUGAGAGACUGUUUUGGAACCACAGACUAGGAUGCACUGCGGGGGUCGCAGGUUGUUGACUGCGCUACUGACUACAUCAGCUUCUGGAUGGACGUUGUUGUUCCGGUUAAAACUGUACGCUGCUAUGCAAACAACAAGCCCUGGAUCACCAGUGACAUCAAGGGCCUUCUGAAUCAGAAGAAGGCGCCUUUAAAGAUGGCAGAGCCACGGCACCGGUAACAGCCAGUCAGCAGUGACAGCCGAGCAUGAGGAGGAGACAAAGUUUUACCAGGUGGAGAAACUCUGGAGAGCAGAUCUAUCCUAUGGAAAUGGAUUUUCUUGUUCACACCAAGACUCGUUUAUUCGAGGGAAUCACGUGUUGCUCUGACAACGUGGUCGCGCGCCGGGGUGGUUCCCCAUUUACCUGACGAGGUGAGGAGGGUAAUGUGAACGCACUACCGAAUAAGAUCGACGAACUGGCUGCGCUGGUGAAAAACAUCAGGACCUACAGAGAGUGCAGUCUGGUGUGCCUCUCUGAAACAUGGCUCAGGUCUAGCAUCCCGGAUGCUAACGUGGAGCUACCCGGUUUCAGUACAGUCAGAGCGGACAGAGACACGAAAGCCUGCGGGAAGCGGGAAGGACGAGGACUCGCUUUAUAUGUAAACACAAGCUGGACAUUAAAAUCCCCAGCUGCUGCAGGGACACCGGACUCUCGGCUGUAAGCCUCCGUCCCUGCCCAGAGAGAUUGGACGCCAUUGUUGUUAUUGUUUACAUUCCUCCACGUGCCGACGCGAGCGACGUCAUCCACUCCGCCGUUGCUCAACUACAAUUAUACAACAAGUAGCUCCGACCGAGCCAUCUGAUUGGUCCACAAGACAUUUAGAACGUGCUCCAAUCAGCAUGACAGCACACCUUACUCACCACUACAAAUAUUACUACGCCAUAAACAAUAAACUCACAAGCGCCUCGGUCCUGACCGCAUCACCGUCGUGCUCAGAUGACGUUAAACACACCCUCUCCGUUAGUAUUGCUUACCACAGCACCCGGAGGCGCGUGUGUUCAUCUCUGGGGACUUCAACCAUGUGACAUUGGACAAAACACUACCUGCUUUCUACCAGUAUGUGGACUGUAACACCAGGGGAAACAGGACCAUUGACCUACUGUAUGCUAACGUAACGGACGCAUACAGCGCCACCCCGCUGCCUGCACCGGGGAAAGCAGAUCACAGCCUCAUUCUGCUCCACAAAGCAAGAGUGAGGAAGCUACCCACAACCACACCUCAUUCAGGAAGUGGUCUCCUGAGGCAGAGCAGGCUCUGAGAGACUGUUUUGGAACCACAGACUAGGAUGCACUGCGGGGGUCGCAGGUUGUUGACUGCGCUACUGACUACAUCAGCUUCUGGAUGGACGUUGUUGUUCCGGUUAAAACUGUACGCUGCUAUGCAAACAACAAGCCCUGGAUCACCAGUGACAUCAAGGGCCUUCUGAAUCAGAAGAAGAAGGCGCCUUUAAAGAUGAAUUUAAUGUCAGUGCUCUGUGUUGAUGUAAAGCUGUGAAUUACCUGGAGGCCUCUGUCCUGGUUUCAAACAAUGAAGACUCUGUGAUCCUGGAUGAAGUGGAGACACCUGGAGGAAAUAAAAAGAGAAACAUACAAA